UACGUAGGGGGCAAGCGUUGUCCGGAAUCAUUGGGCGUAAAGCGCGUGUAGGCGGCUCGGUAAGUCUGCUGUGAAAGUCCAGGGCUCAACUCUGGGAUGCCGGUGGAUACUGUCGAGCUCGAGUCCGGAAGAGGCGAGUGGAAUUCCUGGUGUAGCGGUGAAAUGCGCAGAUAUCAGGAGGAACACCAAUGGCGAAGGCAGCUCGCUGGGACGUGACUGACGCUGAGACGCGAAAGCGUGGGGAGCAAACAGG
rnacentral:rRNA from 1 species